UACGUAGGGAGCGAGCGUUGUCCGGAAUGAUUGGGCGUAAAGGGCGUGUAGGCGGCUGUUUAAGUCUGAAGUGAAAUCCCUGGUUUCAAGCGAGGGCUUGCUUUGGAUACUGGACAGCUUGAGUGCAGGAGAGGUUAUCGGAAUUCCCGGUGUAGCGGUGAAAUGCGUAGAGAUCGGGAGGAACACCAGUGGCGAAGGCGGGUAACUGGACUGUAACUGACGCUGAGGCGCGAAAGUGUGGGGAGCAAAC
rnacentral:rRNA from 1 species